rnacentral:rRNA from 1 species
AUUGAACGCUGGCGGAAUGCUUUACACAUGCAAGUCGAACGGCAGCACGGACUUCGGUCUGGUGGCGAGUGGCGAACGGGUGAGUAAUGUAUCGGAACGUGCCCAGUCGUGGGGGAUAACGUAGUGAAAAUUACGCUAAUACCGCAUACGAUCUAUGGAUGAAAGCGGGGGAUCGCAAGACCUCGCGCGAUUGGAGCGGCCGAUAUCAGAUUAGGUAGUUGGUGGGGUAAAGGCCCACCAAGCCAACGAACUGUAGCUGGUCUGAGAGGACGACCGGCCACACUGGAACUGAGCCACGGUCCAGACUCCUACGGGAGGAAGCAGUGGGGAAUUUUGGACAAUGGGCGAAAGCCUGAUCCAGCCAUUCCGCGUGCAGGAUGAAGGCCCUCGGGUUGUAAACUGCUUUUGUACAGAACGAAAAGGUUUCUACUAAUACUAGGAGCUCAUGACGGUACUGUAAGAAUAAGCACCGGCUAACUACGUGCCAGCCGCCGCCGUAA